AAAAGAGAGAAGCUUAGCAUGCGCCCUGACAAAGACGGAAGAGGCCCCUGGGCCUGACCACACUCACGAGCUUAAGGCAGUACCACCUGCUACUGGGUUGUGUCUGUCACACACCUUU
rnacentral:ncRNA from 1 species